rnacentral:rRNA from 1 species
UACGUAGGGUGCGAGCGUUAAUCGGAAUUACUGGGCGUAAAGCGCGCGCAGGUGGUUUCUUAAGUCUGAUGUGAAAGCCCACGGCUCAACCGUGGAGGGUCAUUGGAAACUGGGGAACUUGAGUGCAGAAGAGGAAAGUGGAAUUCCACGUGUAGCGGUGAAAUGCGUAGAGAUGUGGAGGAACACCAGUGGCGAAGGCGACUUUCUGGUCUGUAACUGACACUGAGGCGCGAAAGCGUGGGGAGCGAACAGG